CCGCAAAACAUAAUCGUAUAAAUAAAGAUGCACGAUAAGACCAGAGCACACUCUCACUCACGUACCAAGAGAUUCAACACGCAUUCGCUCAGCUCAGCAUUCGCACCCACUCGUUGAGAUUCAUUCUUAUAGUUGAGUCGCGCUGGUCAGAUCGUAGUUGUAAAACAAGAAAAAUGUGUAAGUAAUUCCAUGGUGUCCCCUCCCCCCUAGUAAGCCUCGAUGGCUUAUAGUUUAACAGUGUCCAAUUUCCGAAACUCCGUUUGCAUUUACUGUAUGAGUUUGUGUGAGAUGUUUGAUUCUUUUCGGUAACGCUCCUAGACCCGUCGCAGCCCACCGAACCGAGCACUAGUGUUUCGCUGCAUUUAAAGCGCCGAAAGCUCUGCCCUAAUUGGUAGCCACUUUUAGUUAUCAGUUGUACAAUAGAUUGCAAUACUCCCUCAUCGACUAAAGUGCAAGUUUGCACUCUUGCACUCCACCAAGUUCUCCCACGGUGUUCAAAUUUUGCCUCGAUCAUCAGCUCGACGCGCAAGGUUGACCCAACUCGCGAUUCCGAAUCCAAAAUGCCGACAUACCAAGUGCUUUGCGCAUGUCUUUUGAACUCAACAUUAACGGAAAGCAUUCAGAAAGAAGUACGCAUUGGCAGAGGCGAUAAGCGUAGUAAGCAAUUACGGGAGCCCUGUUUAUGAGGGGGCCCGUGUAUCUGAAGUCAAGCAUGUAUAACAGUUGAUAGAGUAUGUAUGGGGCGUUUUUCAGUAUGUAUGACUUUAGACCUUCAGAUACAUCGAGAGAUAGUAAGUAAGUAAGUUUGAGCCGGUCUCGUAGUACAGUCGUCAACUCGUUAGACUUAACAACAUGCCCGUCAUGGGUUCAAUCCCCAAAUAGAUCGCGCCGCCAUACGUAGGACCGACUAUCCUGCUAUGGGGGGGAAUCAAUUAGUCACUGAAAGCCAAGCCCACAAGAGGGUACAGGCAGGCCUUGACCGACAUCGGUUGUUGAGCCAAAGAAGAAGAAGAGUAUGUAUGGCACUGUAUUACCAAGAAGGAUCUCGUGGGUGAUCGACGUUGGGGCUCCUAGCCCGAUGAACUCUGAGAACCCUGAGAUUUUUAUAA